AUUGAACGCUGGCGGCAUGCCUUACACAUGCAAGUCGAACGGCAGCACGGGUGCUUGCACCUGGUGGCGAGUGGCGAACGGGUGAGUAAUACAUCGGAACAUGUCCUGUAGUGGGGGAUAGCCCGGCGAAAGCCGGAUUAAUACCGCAUACGAUCCACGGCUGAAAGCGGGGGACCUUCGGGCCUCGCGCUAUCGGGUUGGCCGAUGGCUGAUUAGCUAGUUGGUGGGGUAAAGGCCUACCAAGGCGACGAUCAGUAGCUGGUCUGAGAGGACGACCAGCCACACUGGGACUGAGACACGGCCCAGACUCCUACGGGAGGCAGCAGUGGGGAAUUUUGGACAAUGGGCGAAAGCCUGAUCCAGCAAUGCCGCGUGUGUGAAGAAGGCCUUCGGGUUGUAAAGCACUUUUGUCCGGAAAGAAAUCCUUGGCUCUAAUACAGUCGGGGGAUGACGGUACCGGAAGAAUAAGCACCGGCUAACUACGUG
rnacentral:rRNA from 1 species